AUUAAACCGCGUUAGGGAUUGCAGCGGCAUCCCCCGAUCUUGAUCGGGGAUACAGCGAAAAGCCCGGCCCUAA
rnacentral:sRNA from 1 species